rnacentral:rRNA from 1 species
CCCUUAGAUGUUCUGGGCUGCACGCGCGCUACACUGAAGCUAUCAACACGUUUUCCCUCCCUGAGAAGGGCGGGUAACCUUUUGAAUCAGCUUCGUGGUAGGGAUCGGGGCUUGCAAUUGUUCCCCGUGAACCAGGAAUUCCUGGUAGACGCGAGUCAUAAGCUCGCAUCGAUUAAGUCCCUGCCCUUUGUACACACCGCCCGUCGCUACUACCGAUUGAACGUUUUAGUGAGGCAUUUGGACCGACGCAUCUCAGUUUAACCGCUGGUUUGUGUUGGAAAGACUUCCAAACUUGAGCGUUUAGAGGAAGUAAAAGUCGUAACA